UACGAAGGUCCCAAGCGUUGUUCGGAAUCACUGGGCGUAAAGGGUGCGUAGGCGGCGCGAAAAGUCAGAUGUGAAAGCCCCGGGCUCAACCCGGGAACUGCAUCCGAUACUCCCGCGCUAGAGGAUUGGAGAGGAGUCUGGAAUUCACGGUGUAGCAGUGAAAUGCGUAGAUAUCGUGAGGAACACUCGUGGCGAAGGCGAGACUCUGGACAAUUCCUGACGCUGAGGCACGAAGGCCGGGGGAGCAAACAGG
rnacentral:rRNA from 1 species